GAAGCCAGAGUUGCUGGAGUCGAGAUGACCGCGAUCGCCGUCGAGACCUGCAAGGAAAGUCUAAACCAGAGUUGGGGGUGCUCCGGCAAGACCCUCCGAUGCUCAAGUCAGUACUCUACUUCAACAGAAAUGGAGUGCUCAAGUAGAAAUUUUAGCAGAGUUUUGAGAUAGAAUUUUUUGAGCUUAGAGAAGAACAUAUCUGGAGAUCCUUUUUUAUAGACGGAGAGCGUAACUGCUUGACAGCGACGUCUAUAACUGCCUGGUAGUGGGCCGUUUAGAGCUGUCUGGAGUUUGUUAUGAAGAGUAGUGGCGUCAGGGGUCGUUCAGAGCCACGUGGAGUUUGCUAUAGAGAGUAGAGUGGUGACCGUUGUCACGACUUGCCAGAGAGUAGUGGAGCCAUAUGGAAUCCGCUGCAGAGAGUGGAGCAGGGUAGUGGCCAUUGUCGUGACUUGCCAGUUAGUUCGGAUCUGUCGGCUGAAGCUCGACUGGGACAUCUGACAGAGCGGAAUGGCUCUCUAUCCCAUCGAUCUGGGAGAAGCUCGGAUGCCUCGAAGCUGCUGACGAGCUUACUACUGUCGGAUACCUUAGGCACUGAUACCACAGGUGAGAGUUAUCUACUGUAGAAGCUCGGAUGGAGACUUUUUGUUGGUGAAGCUCGGUAGGAGUCCGAUUGCUAGAGGAGUCCGUCUGAG
rnacentral:lncRNA from 1 species